UCGACCCCAGGUCAGGCGGGACUACCCGCUGAGUU
rnacentral:rRNA from 1 species